GGUGGCCGAGUAGGUGGCAAGCUGUAGCCUUGCUUACGGGGCAUAGCCCCCCCCA
rnacentral:tRNA from 1 species